ACGAACGCUGGCGGCGUGCUUAACACAUGCAAGUCGCACGGAAAGGCCCUGCUUGCAGGGUACUCGAGUGGCGAACGGGUGAGUAACACGUGGGUGAUCUGCCCUGCACUUCGGGAUAAGCCUGGGAAACUGGGUCUAAUACCGGAUAGGAGCCAUUUUUAGUGUGAUGGUUGGAAAGUUUUUUCGGUGUAGGAUGAGCUCGCGGCCUAUCAGCUUGUUGGUGGGGUAAUGGCCUACCAAGGCGGCGACGGGUAGCCGGCCUGAGAGGGUGGACGGCCACAUUGGGACUGAGAUACGGCCCAGACUCCUACGGGAGGCAGCAGUGGGGAAUAUUGCACAAUGGGCGCCAGCCUGAUGCAGCGACGCCGCGUGGGGGAUGACGGCCUUCGGGUUGUAAACUCCUUUCGCUAGGGACGAAGCUUUUUGUGACGGUACCUAGAUAAGAAGCACCGGCUAACUACGUG
rnacentral:rRNA from 1 species